rnacentral:misc_RNA from 1 species
UGAUAGAAACCCUGUUGUUGAGGAGAGGAUCCGACAGGUAUCAGAUGCAAGCAGCCAUGCUGAGAAAAUCUUGAAAAUUGGUGAAAAAGGUAUUGUCAGGGGUAAUGUGACAGACACACCUCCUGAUGGAACGAAUGUGAUUGAACUGCCAUUUACGUCUGCAGGCACAGCGUCUGCCACUAAGAACCUGGAAAAUCCUUCUUCAGUUCUUCCUAAUAUUCGCUGGGAGGAUGUAAAACGUGAGGAUUUGUCUCUUCCAACUGCAGAACGGAAAGAUAUCCUUAUUGACAUCAAUGACAGGUUCCCUCGCGAUCUCCUUUCCGAUCUCUUUUCAAAGGCCAGACUUGCCGAAGAUUCCAGAAGUGCCAUUCCCCUGCAGAGAGACAAUACAGGUGUCAGUUUGAACAUGCAAAAUCUUGAGCCCAAAAGGUGGUCUUUCUUUAGAAAUUUGGCCCAGGGUGAGUUUGCACGGAAGGAUGUUUCCCUUAUGGACCAGGACCACAUUGAUUACUCUUUACUUAAAAUAGUCGAGGAAGGGGUUUCAACUCCAUAUCAGUUUGAUCAUUUGGCUGAGGGGGUUAAAUUGAGUCACAUGGAUUCUCAGAUCGAUUUUGACGAGGAUAUGCAACAAGCACCUGGCACGGUUGAAACCAAUGCUGAUAUUUUACCCCCAGGCUAUACACCAUCACAAGUCACUGAUCCACAUUUGGCAGACAAGAAUGGCGAAGUUUUGCGGG